rnacentral:rRNA from 1 species
AGAGGGUGCGAGCGUUAAUCGGAAUCACUGGGCGUAAAGAGCACGUAGGUGGACAUGCAAGUUGGAUGUGAAAGCCCUGGGCUUAACCUGGGAAUGCCAUCCAAAACUGCCUGUCUAGAGUACAGUAGAGGAAAGCGGAAUUUCCGGUGUAGCGGUGAAAUGCGUAGAUAUCGGAAGGAACAUCAGUAGCGAAGGCGGCUUUCUGGACUGAUACUGACACUGAGGUGCGAAAGCGUGGGGAGCGAACAGGAUUAGAUACCCUGGUAGUCCCACGCCGUAAACGAUGAGAACUAGCCGUUGGAGACCUAUGAGUCUUUUGUGGCGCAGCUAACGCGAUAAGUUCUCCGCCUGGGGAGUACGGCGCAAGGUUA